GUAACAAGGUCUCCGUUGGUGAACCAGCGGAGGGAUCAUUACUGAGUUACCGCUCUAUAACCCUUUGUGAACAUACCUAACUGUUGCUUCGGCGGGCAGGGGGUGCCGCCUGCGGACCCCCCUCCCGGCCCUGCCCUCACGGGCGGAGCGCCCGCCGGAGGAUACCAAACUCUAUUUUAACGACGUUUCUUCUGAGUGGCACAAGCAAAUAAUUAAAACUUUCAACAACGGAUCUCUUGGUUCUGGCAUCGAUGAAGAACGCAGCGAAAUGCGAUAAGUAAUGUGAAUUGCAGAAUUCAGUGAAUCAUCGAAUCUUUGAACGCACAUUGCGCCCGCCAGCAUUCUGGCGGGCAUGCCUGUUCGAGCGUCAUUUCAACCCUCAAGCUCUGCUUGGUGUUGGGGCCCUACGGUUGACGUAGGCCCUUAAAGGUAGUGGCGGACCCUCUCGGAGCCUCCUUUGCGUAGUAACUAACGUCUCGCACUGGGAUUCGGAGGGACUCUUGCCGUAAAACCCCCAAAUUUUUAAAGGUUGACCUCGGAUCAGGUAGGAAUACCCGCUGAAC
rnacentral:rRNA from 1 species